GCAAAAUGUUGAAUGAUAUUUCCAUCAAGAAAACAAGUUACAGUCCAUGGGCCCAAAUAAUUUCCCUUAUAUUACCACUUACUGCUGUGGACGGCAAAGAGAGAGAGAGACAGCUGGACCAGGGGAGGUGUGUUAAAUAUCAUUUGGUGUGGUUCCCAUCGGAGAAUAUUGUGAAUACUGCUGAUUAUUAGGUGGAUUCAUUUAUUCUUGAUAAUUAGCAAUUUUGCGGUAAAGCUAUUAGAAUUGGAGAUCUCACACAUUGAGUGUGAUUUUAAUAUCUUAUACAUUACUGCUGUCGUCGCAUGAUUGAUGUACUGUACAUAUUCUCAACAU
rnacentral:misc_RNA from 1 species